AUGCCCGCCUCCGCCUCGCCGGCUGUGCAAGUCGCCAGUGUGCGCACCCACGUGCCCGUCACGUUGGAUCUCAACACCUCCAACUUCGCCAAGUGGAGGAUGCUCAUCCGCGUCCUCCUCGGCAAGUACGACUUGCUGUCCCACAUCACCACCGUCACGCCCGCGGCGGACCGCACGCCGGACUGGACCCGCGAGGACUACGUUGUUCGGUUCUGGCUGUACGGUUCUAUCUCCGACGAGAUUCUUGAUCUGAUCAUGGCGGAAGAUCAGACGGCGCAUGAGGCUUGGACUCUCAUCUCCAACCUGUUUCUGGACAACAGGAUGACGCGCGCGGUCUACCUCGAGGCCGAGUUCCGCGGCCUCGUCCAAGGUGACCUCUCGGUCACCGCGUAUUGCCACCGCCUGAAGGCCCUCUCCGACGCCCUCGCCGACGUCGGCACUCCGGUCACGGACCAAACCCUCGUCCUCAACUGCCUUCGUGGGCUCAACCCGCGGUUCGCCGACAUCACCACGAUCGUGACCAUGCAGAACCCGCUUCCGACGUUCGGGCAGACGCGCUCUCUGCUGGUUCUUCGCGAGACUCAGCUCGCCAACACCUCCGCCGUGGCCAACCAGACCGCCCUGUACGGCGGCCACUCUUCCCAGGGCUCCGGUCCUGGUAGCGCCAACUCCAACCACGGCGACGGCAACCGUGGUGGCGGCAACUCCGGUGGUGGCGGCAACCGCAACGGCAGGAACUGGCGCAAGAAGCGACAAGGCGGCGGCUCCGGCGGUAGCAACUCCGGCGGCUCCCGCGUCGGUACAGGCGGUCAGCGUGCGGUCGGCCCGUGGAUCUACUUCAACCCAUACACGGGCCAGCCGCUGCAGCCCCAGGGCACUCCAAAGCCACGACCAACCGGAGGCGCCGACCUGCUAGGCCCGCGUCCCCCGGUGCUGCCACCCGCCUAG
rnacentral:rRNA from 1 species